AAAUUAAUGCCAAUCCUAAGGACUAACAGUGACGUCCUCAAGAAAUAUCCAUGACUCUGGGAACCUACCAACUGUAGAGCCUACCCAUGGGGUUCCAUUAAUCAGAGAUACUUGUCAUUUACUCGUUAUUCUGAUCCAUCUGAGAACACCUUGAAUGUGUGAUCCUAAACAUGUCACUACAUUCAUAGACAUAUCAUUACAUUUAUAUUCAUCAUCAUACAUUUCAUAUCAUUUUU
rnacentral:lncRNA from 1 species